GGGAUAAUUAUCACCAUAUUGUCAUUUUUACAACAAAGAAGAAGUUUUAAGAAAGAAGUUUGCGGAGGUCGACCUGGACUUGUUGUGUGAGUAUAUAGACCUGUCAAGUUUUGAAAAUUUUUAUGCAGGAAGGUAAUUUCCUUAGGUUAGUGGCCACGAGGUGCAACCAUAGUUGGCGUGCCCUGAGUACAUGGGGGAUUGAAAUUUGAGUUCCCCAGAUCGCCAGAAAUUUGCCUUUCCAAGGUUUCACAAACCUUAUGUGUUCAUGCUAUAAACAUAUGAAAUGUUAAUUAGCAUCGCUUCUCUUACCCAAACUGCAAAAAAAUAGCGCUUCUCCCAGCUUUUUGUCGCUUUUUGAUAACGGAAUGAGAUACACAUUUUCAAGACUUCUUAAGACUUCUGGAUGCUGUCGUUGGCAAAUAGAAUGCAUUGGGCAUAAAUGUGCAAAUGAAAAGAAAUGCAUGGGAGUAAUUGCCCCACAAAGCAACCAGAAAGCAAACAAAAAUGUGGGAAUUUCACGAUAAUUGUGGGAAACUUGGAAGGUUUGUAUUAUAAUAUAAAUUAAUAUAAACAUUCCUGUGACAAUUGUCAGUGUCUUUCCAUUCUUCUGAGUUCAGUCUUUUAGACAUGCAGUUUAAUAAUCCAUUAAUGAGCAAUCGACCGCACAAAACUCUCCAAUUGAAGAGUAAAAUCAUCCAGCAUUUGGCAGUAAAAUAAUAAAGUGGGGUAUAUUGCUGCAUAAUAAGAGUUAAUCCAUUAAUUAUGAGGAGCAUAAUGUUAAUUGUCUGUAGCUAUAGAUAGAGUAAAAUAAUAAAGUAGCUAGGGCGCAUUAAUUGGGGGCAAUUAAUGCAACCCAAUGACGCGUGUUAACUUAAGACACCAAGAUGAGGUGGGUAACCAAUAAACUGGAACUAAACAAUGUUUUUGUGACCACCAAUAGACCACUUGCAUGUUAGACGAAUUUUUGAUCUUGGCAAAAAAAAAGUAAAUUCCCGUAAAGAACUAAUAUUAAAAUUAGUAAAAUUGCCAAAUUUGGUUACGAAAUGUUGUUAAAUAUGGAAAAUAUAGCCUUGCAAAGUUUGCACAUUUUGUUUGUUUGUGUUACGAGCGGAAAUUGUUACCAUUUUUGAGCCAAAAAUAUCUAACGCCAGACAAUAUCUUGCUCUAAUGCCAAAUAAUUUUACUCAUCAAGGACAAGAGUGUUGUGCUCAAUGAGUUAAUUAAAUUGCAUCCUGUGCAUGCAGGCCUAUAGAUUUCCUUGGCAUGGAUCAUGACCGCCUGGCCAUCAUGUGUGUGUUUGGAGCUGCUACUGCAUCAAUCCUGCUUCUGAUCCUUAAAAGCAUUUCAGGAUAUAGCAAUGCUUGGG